UUUUUUUAUCAAAGAUAAUAUAGAAAUUUCCAUUCAAGAAGAGGAAAAAUCUUAAGAUAACAGAACAUCCAAAUCACGGGGAGAUUUGAACACCACCCUACAAUAAUAUUACCAGAACGAGCCUGAUUGGCCACCCAAUUUGCACUUCUAUUCGCAAGCCUAUUAAUAUAAGCUACUUUUGCUAGAGCUAUAACAUAAGAUUCAAUCUCCCAAGGAAGUAUAGUCUGCUCGGAAGAAACCAACUUCGCAAGCUGCAUCGAGUUUGUUUCAAUAAGGCAAGGGAAGUAGUUUCUGCUCUGAAUUAAUCUAUAGGCCAUGCUAAGAGCAUACCCCUUCGCUGCCAAAGGAGAAAGACCGAAAAAGUUUCCAUAAGACCAUCCAUGAGAACACCCUCCUAAUUUCUACAUAAGAUGCCCAAACCAGCUGUACUAGACCCAUAAUCGAAAGAAGUAUCACUAUUGAUUUUAAACCAGCCCACAUUAGGAGGAGACCAAGACAACUGCCUGAUUACUAAUGGGCCAGGAGGAAUUGGCAAAGAAUGAUGUUGCGGAAGUGCUGUUGAAAGCAUUUCCUCAAAAGCAUUCUUAGCCUUUGAGAUGGUAACGAUAGGAUUAGGCAAUUCAGCUUGAAAAACCAUCACAUUUUUUGUUUUUCAUAUAUACCAGCAGAGCAAGCUAGCCAUUCGGAGUUCCCAGUAAUCUGAUUUAGCCACAUAUCUUUGCAGAAGGAUGAAAAUCCUCUGUCACUAGGAUAAUAACCUAACUAGGAACCAAACCAAGUAGCCCUAGAGUGUUCACAGAAAAAGAAAAGAUAUUCUAUAAUUUCCUCAGCCUUAUUUAAUGCUAGACAAGAAGUAGAAGAAAAGCAUUUCCUCUUGAAGAGAUCAACUUUUGUAGCCAAAGCAUCAUAACAUACACACCAGAUAAAGUUACGAAUAUUUGGCGCAGCUGAAAUAUUCCAAAUCUUCAUCCACUGAUUGCAGCUUGUGGCAUGAAAGGAAUUAUGCAUAAUAUUCUGGAGAGAUUUGAGCACAAAGUAAGUUGAUUUCACUGUUGGAAUCCCAUCUCGAGUAAAAUGCCACGCUCUGCGAUAUUCAUUUUGAGCCUUAGAUAGAAGAAUUCUCAUAAUCUCUUUACAUUCGUUAGGAGAAAAGCAAUCAUAUAAAAUAUGAGGAUCCCAUGACAAAGAGAUAGGGUUAAUGAGGUCUGAAACAUACAGAAUUGGACUAUUUUGUGGCUACAAAGAAGAAAUCUUGAAAUGAGGAAGAGUUGGAACCCAAGGUUUCGACCAUACAUUAAUGAAAGAUCUCCUAAUAAUAUUCCAUCUAAGACCCAACUUUAGCACAUCCCUACCCUGCAAUAGACUGCGCCAAGCCCAAGAAGAGUUUAAAGUAAGCCUAGCUUCCAAAAAUUGAACAUGGGGGAAAUAGAUGCCUUUCAACAACCUAGAAUACAGAGAAUGAGGAAAUUGCAAAACUCUCGGGCUUAUUUUGCUAAAAUUGCAUCAUUGAACAAAUUAAGGUCCUUAAAACUCAUACUCCUUUCUUACUCCAUGUUAGAGAAGACCAUAUCCACCAGUGAAUAUUGGAGGAGUCCCACGAGUGUCGCCACCAGAACUAGGCAAAAAGACUAUGAAUUUCUUUUAUAAAGCUCACAGGAAGCUUAAACGUCACCAUAACAUAUGAUGAGAUUGCUUGAACGACAGCUUUAAUUAGAAUUUCUUUACCCGCCUGAACUAAUUUUUACACUUCCAUCCCUUUAGCUUUCGCACAAUUUGAUCUUUAAUAAAAGAUAAAGCUUGCUUCUUUGAUCUACCCCAAACUACUGACAGCCCCAAAUACUUAGAAAGAGAUGAGGAAAUUGGAAUUUACAAAAUCUGAGAGAUCUCUUAUUGAAAGAAGGCUGGGAAUUAGAACUGAAUGUAAUCUCUGAUUUGUGCUUAUCAAGAAUGUUUUCUCUGA
rnacentral:misc_RNA from 1 species